rnacentral:pre_miRNA from 1 species
CCUGGAGACCUUGUCAAAAUGCAGAUUCCAUUGGCCUGGGGGUAUAUGUUGAGAUUUGGCAUUUCUAACAAGUUCCCAGAUGAUG